rnacentral:rRNA from 1 species
UUUACCUACGGGACGCAGCAGUUAGGAAUAUUCGUCAAUGGGGGGAACCCUGAACGAGCAAUGCCGCGUGAAUGAAGAAGGCCCUAUGGGUUGUAAAAUUCUGUUGUAUGGAAAGAAAGAUAGACAUAGGAAAUGAUAUGUAUUUGACGGUACCAUUCAAGAAAGCCACGGCUAACUACGUGCCAGCAGCCGCGGUAAUACGUAGGUGGCGAGCGUUAUCCGGAAUUAUUGGGCGUAAAGAGUGCGCAGGCGGUUUGAUAAGUCUAAAAUAAAAGCCCGAAGCUUAACUUCGGUUCGUUUUAGAA